rnacentral:rRNA from 1 species
CCUACGGGUGGCAGCAGUGAGGAAUAUUGGUCAAUGGUCGGGAGACUGAACCAGCCAAGCCGCGUGAGGGAUGAAGGUACAGAGUAUCGUAAACCUCUUUUGUCAGGGAACAAAGGCGGGGACGCGUCCCCGGAUGAGUGUACCUGAAGAAAAAGCAUCGGCUAACUCCGUGCCAGCAGCCGCGGUAAUACGGAGGAUGCGAGCGUUAUCCGGAUUUAUUGGGUUUAAGGGGUGCGCAGGCGGUCUGUCAAGUCAGCGGUCAAAGCCCGGGGCCCAACCCCGGCCCGCGGUUGAGACUGGCAGUCUCGAGUUGGAGAGAGGUAGGCGGAAUGCGGGGUGGAGCGGUGAAAUGCAUAGAUA